GAAGCUGUUCUGUACUGAGGAACGGGAUAAAAUUCCUCCAAGCCUAUGUGCAGGACUGAUCAACAGUUAACGGAAACGUUUAGUUGCAGUUAUUGCUGCACAAGCAGGUCACACCAGAUACUGAAAGCAAAGCUUCACAUACAUUUGCCCGUCAUAGAUAUGCAACAUUGGAUCGUUUUCCUCAAUAAACAAAUGACCGAGUAUAAUAUUAUCAUCUCAUUUGUUUAAUUGGGUUCUCUUUAUCCACUUUUAGGACUUCUGAUGAUGUUUAGGUCGUAUUUAUGUAGCUAGAUAAUUCAGUAGAAAUAUGCUGCUGAUCAACACCACCAUCAUCAAAACACUAACUGAGUUCAAAUCUUUUGUAAGAAGGCUUAGUGGUUAGCACGUUCGCCUCACACCUCCAGCGCCGGGGGUUCGAUUCCCGCCGCGGCCCUGUGUGUGCGGAGUUUGCAUGUCCUCCCCGUGCUGCGGGGGUUUCCUCCGGGUACUCCGGUUUCCUCCCCCAGUCCAAAGACAUGCAUGGUAGGCUGAUUGUCAUGUCUAAAGUGUCUGUAGUGUAUGAAUGGGUGUGUGAGUGUGUAUGUGAUUGUGCCCUGCGAUGGAUUGGCACCCUAUCCAGGGUGUACCCCGCCUUGCGCCCCAUGCUCCCUGGGAUAGGCUCCAGGUUCCCCCGUGAAGCUGAAAAGGAUAAAGCGGUAUAGAAGAUGGAUGGAUGGAUGGACGUGUCAUUCACUGAUACAGUACAACUCUUUAAUAAAUGACGAAAAGCUGUGGUAUACGCGGAAUAAAUCACUUCGGGGUGUUCUUCGUAGGCAAACAAUCAACUCUUCGUUGAUUGUUUUCCUGUAACAUCACUACUCCGAGCUGUGCCCAAGUGGUGAUUUCGUUGCGAUCUGGCAACCCUCCUGUUAGCCACUGUAGUAGGACUCACACUACUACGCGGAAUCUCCUAAACACACCUAUUUUAUUUAAUAAAGGAGGAGGAGACGGCGGACACUUUCUGUUACUGAUCAUGGAUUACGGGAGGCGGUGAGUGAAACGUCCUUCUCUUAUUAUUAUUGUUAUUGUUAUCAUCAAACAGCGUGCAGAUUGUACGAGGGUGAGUCAAACGUAAAGUCGCCAUAGAUGCUACGAUAAGAAUCCGGGUUUUGAUCCGGAGGGCUGGGACAGGAACGUUCGUAACCUACUCAUGCUCCCGGGUGUCUGUAAACGUACACACCCGAAGACCGAUUAAUAUAAACCUCGACUCGAUUGACUUCAAAGCGCUACUGCACUUUUAUAUCUGGAAUAUGCGAUAUCGAGAUGAAAUUGCGUAUUUUUAAUUUAGUCUCUAUCCAAAAACGCAUCCUCGUGCUAGUUCACUAGGUCAGGGACUAAGAGUGCCGUCGAGAAGAUUUUUAUAUUGUUGGUAUUAAUGGAAAAAUGUCAAAAUAAAGAAAGUGAGGCAACACGAAUAAAACCAAAUGAUGACGAACGAAACGGCGGCGUAUAAAUGGAGUUUGGGCCAGUUGGGCAACCUGUAAACAAACGCCUCGGCUGAUGGAAGAUGUUGUGCUUGCUUAUUAUUAUUAUUAUUAUUAUUAUUAUUAGUAGUAGUAGUAGUAGUAGUAGUAGUAUUCAGUCUGGACAGGAUUUCGCAGAGCUUUUUUUUUUAUUAUUGUUGCGGCCAAAAAUCUUUAAAAAAUUUUUUUGUUGUUGCUUUUUUAUUUUUUCCAAAAAUUGCGAUGCAAAUUGCAGAGUUUUUUUGUGCUUUUCAUUGCGGAAAAACGACUCGAAUUUUCGCAGUCGCACGGAAUUGUCUUUCGUCGUGACGUUUAUUGGUAAAUGACACCUUUUAGCUGUGCUCGUGUUCGACACACGUAGAUCGAAGAGGGCUUCGGGUGAAUGCGCGUCGCGAUGAUGUCACAUGACGCGUCUCGACGCAAAUCUGCGGUAAUAUUUAAAAAUCGCAAGCUCCUCCGAAUAUUGCGGUGUUUGCUUGAUUUCGCGUUCAUUUCUGCGAUCGCAAAAUCGUUAAAUCUUGGAGGGACUGCAUUAUUUAUAUAUAUUUUAGUUAAAUGUUUUUUUUUUUUGGCAUAAAUGAUAGUGAGUAGCAAGUCAAAAAAAAACUCACUGUGUUUUUUUUUUUUUU
ensembl:lncRNA